rnacentral:rRNA from 1 species
AUAUAACCCACCUGGCUCGGCCAGGGCACAGUGCGGUGCUUCAUACCGUGCAAAAUGCAGCUUUGUCUGCCUAAAGCGGAGCGCUUCAGUUCCGUCAGCAGGCUGUGCCUGGUUUUUACCUACGUACAGUCGACCCAUU